AGAGUUUGAUCAUGGCUCAGGAUGAACGCUGGCGGUGUGCCUAAUACAUGCAAGUCGAACGGGCUCUUCGGAGCUAGUGGCGGACGGGUGAGUAACACGUUGGUACCUACCCCAAAGUGAGGAAUAACUGCCCGAAAGGGUGGCUAAUACCGCAUAAUACCGUAAGGUUAAAGCAGAAAUGCGCUUUGGGAGGGGCCUGCGUCCCAUUAGCUUGUUGGUAGUGUAAUGGACUACCAAGGCUACGAUGGGUAGCUGGAUCGAGAGGUUGACCAGCCACACUGGGACUGAGAUACGGCCCAGACUCCUACGGGAGGCAGCAGUAAGGAAUCUUCCACAAUGGACGAAAGUCUGAUGGAGCAACACCGCGUGCAGGAUGACGGUCUUCGGAUUGUAAACUGCUUUUAUAUGGGAAGAUUAUGACGGUACCAUAUGAAUAAGGACCGGCUAACUACGUGCCAGCAGCCGCGGUAAUACGUAGGGUCCAAGCGUUAUCCGGAAUCACUGGGCGUAAAGCGUGCGUAGGUGGUUUGUUAAGUGAGAUGUUAAACCGUGUGGCUCAACCAUACGUUGUAUCUCAUACUGGCAAACUAGAGGACGGCAGAGGCAAGUGGAAUUUGUAGUGUAGCAGUGAAAUGCGUAGAUAUUACAAGGAACACCAAUGGCGAAGGCAGCUUGCUGGGCCACUCCUGACACUGAGGUACGAAAGCGUGGGGAGCGAACAGGAUUAGAUACCCUAGUAGUCC
rnacentral:rRNA from 1 species